AGGAUGCGCUGCCACUGAGCCACCGUUGAGCCGAAAUGAAGUGUAAUGGAGAGGAGGAAAGUCUUCACUGUGAGUACCCUUGGAAGUCCUUAACGAUGCUCUGAUAUUUCCAUCGGAAAAAAAAAAAUCUGAACUACUGCAUUCCGGAUACCCCAAACCAUAACCUUGUGUUUGGAUCCUGCAAGAGAAAUAGAGAAAUUAAAUAAUAGAGAGAUUAAAGAAUUAGAGAAGAAAAGAAUUUUGAUUUAUCUUGGAUAAAGGAGUAGUUUAGAGUAGAAAUCAAAUUUCUUGUAGAGAAGAUAUAUAAGCGUUGCAUACCUAUUUCCCUCCCUUUCCUUUUGCCACCAAAUUGGGAGAAAUUUGUAAUAAACUGGGAAAUGCUAGUGUUUUUUCCUUUUAUUUUUGGUGAUACUAAGCUAAUUAAUGAGAACGAGAUAUUCAUAAAUGAACCUAAGCUAAACUAAUCUUUGCUCG
rnacentral:lncRNA from 1 species